ACGGCCUCAGUAUUUUGCCGUCCAGCUCCUCCAGAGCAGAGCAAAGCUCUGAUGUUCCCGGAAGAGGCUUUGGUGGAGAGCAGCUUUCUCUUGGCAUGGGAGCCAGGCUUGCUUCCUGUCAACAAGAGCCAUGAAAAAAAUGGCCUAGGCAAGCCUCCAGCAGGUCUGUGUCCCUUUGCAGAGAAUUUGGCCGGCCCGUUCUGCUGACUUCGGGUCAGAGACCACCGCUCAUGGGAUCCAGGUGUUGCCGAGGUUUCAGCUCGCUGUGAAAAAGAGCAGAGCAGAGGCCGCCGCAGAAAGGAACGCUGCAGUGGCGCGGAAGAUGAGUAGAGGGGGCACUGCCGGCAGGCUGCUACAGAAGCGGAAGACACUUCCCCCCUCCAUGCUGCUGCAAUACCAGGCAGGCUCGAAG